CCUACGGGUCGCACCAGUGGGGAAUAUUGCACAAUGGGCGCAAGCCUGAUGCAGCCAUGCCGCGUGUGUGAAGAAGGCCUUCGGGUUGUAAAGCACUUUCAGCGGGGAGGAAGGCGAUAAGGUUAAUAACCUUGUCGAUUGACGUUACCCGCAGAAGAAGCACCGGCUAACUCCGUGCCAGCAGCCGCGGUAAUACGGAGGGUGCAAGCGUUAAUCGGAAUUACUGGGCGUAAAGCGCACGCAGGCGGUCUGUCAAGUCAGAUGUGAAAUCCCCGGGCUCAACCUGGGAACUGCACUUGAAACUGGCAAGCUAGAGUCUCGUAGAGGGGGGUAGAAUUCCAGGUGUAGCGGUGAAAUGCGUAGAGAUCUGGAGGAAUACCGGUGGCGAAGGCGGCCCCCUGGACGAAGACUGACGCUCAGGUGCGAAAGCGUGGGGAGCAAACAGGAUUAGAUACCCGGGUAGUC
rnacentral:rRNA from 1 species